GAUGAACGCUGGCGGCGUGCUUAACACAUGCAAGUCGAACGGACGGACGAGAAGCUUGCUGCUCUGAUGUUAGGGGCGGCGGAGGGGGUAAUAAGUGGAUAGUCUCCCUCUCAGACUGGGUGGACAACGGGAAAACGGAGCUGAUAACAGAGGAUAUUUUGAACCGCAUGGUUCAAAGGUGAGAGACGGUCUUGCUGUCGCUGAUAGAUGGGUCCGCGCUGCAUUAGCUAGUUGGUAAGGUAACGGCUUACCAAGGCGACGAUGCAUAGCCGCCCUGAGAGGGUGAUCGGCCACACUGGAGCUGAGACACGGUCCAGACUCCUACGGGAGGCAGCAGUAGGGAAGCUUCCGCAAUGGGCGGAAGCCUGACGGAGCAACGCCGCGUGAGUGAUGAUGGUCUUCGGAUCGUAAAACUCUGUUAUUAGGGAAGAACAUAUGUGUAAGUAACUGUGCACAUCUUGACGGUACCUAAUCAGAAAGCCACGGCUAACUACGUG
rnacentral:rRNA from 1 species